GAUGAACGCUGGCGGCGUGCCUAAUACAUGCCAGUCGAGCGAACGGACGAGAAGCUUGCUUUUCUGAUGUUAGCGGCGGACGGGUGAGUAACACGUGGAUAACCUACCUAUAAGACUGGGAUAACUUCGGGAAACCGGAGCUAAUACCGGAUAAUAUUUUGAACCGCAUGGUUCAAAAGUGAAAGACGGUCUUGCUGUCACUUAUAGAUGGAUCCGCGCUGCAUUAGCUAGUUGGUAAGGUAACGGCUUACCAAGGCAACGAUGCAUAGCCGACCUGAGAGGGUGAGCGGCCACACUGGAACUGAGACACGGUCCAGACUCCUACGGGAGGCAGCAGUAGGGAAUCUUCCGCAAUGGGCGAAAGCCUGACGGAGCAACGCCGCGUGAGUGAUGAAGGUCUUCGGAUCGUAAAACUCUGUUAUUAGGGAAGAACAAAUGUGUAAGUAACUAUGCACGGCUGGACGGUACCUAAUCAGAAAGCCACGGCUAACUACGUG
rnacentral:rRNA from 1 species